rnacentral:rRNA from 1 species
ACAAGCGGUGGAGCAUGUGGUUUAAUUCGAUGCAACGCGAAGAACCUUACCUGGUCUUGACAUCCACGGAAGUUUUCAGAGAUGAGAAUGUGCCUUCGGGAACCGUGAGACAGGUGCUGCAUGGCUGUCGUCAGCUCGUGUUGUGAAAUGUUGGGUUAAGUCCCGCAACGAGCGCAACCCCUUUAUCCUUUGUUGCCAGCGGUCCGGCCGGGAACUCAAAGGAGACUGCCAGUGAUAAACUGGAGGAAGGUGGGAUGACGUCAAGUCAUCAUGGCCCUUACGACCAGGGCUACACACGUGCUACAAUGGCGCAUACAAAGAGAAGCGACCUCGCGAGAGCAAGCGGACCUCAUAAAGUGCGUCGUAGUCCGGAUUGGAGUCUGCAACUCGACUCCAUGAAGUCGGAAUCGCUAGUAAUCGUGGAUCAGAAUGCCACGGUGAAUACGUUCCCGGGUCUU